CUGUGUAUCUUAGGCUGGCACAGGAUUCAAAUCCUCCAUUUUAGCCUCCAGUAUGCUGGGAUUACAGGUGUAUGCCAACACUCCCAGCUACAACCUGUCUCUUAAAGAUCCCAUCUACAACCUCCCAACAUCUCUACCCAAAUCCCAACACAAGCUGGCUAGUGUCACCACACUGAUAGAAAUGAAAUGCAGAGUUGCCAAGAGGACCACAUGCCUGGAUCUACUGGAGGACGUUGAGACACUUUACUGAAGUGAGCUGGGACUUGGAAGAUGGACAGCAGUUCUCAGAUGAAGAGGGAUGGGCAUCUAAAAUUUUCAGCCUAUUUUUGUGGAUUCUUCAAGGAGUGGUCAUUAUCUGCUGCAAUGCCAGAUCGCCAUGUUCUUAGGCAAUCACCAACGGCAAAACAUGCACUGGACUCCCAGGAUGUGAAGUCUGUAACCAAGAAGAGGAAGUACGCAAAGACGCAUUCUUUGACCACAACUUGUUCAUGUAUGAGUGCCAGGAAAGGACAGAGGAAGGCCAGUGAAGGAUCUGGGGACACAUGUUUAUAAUCCCAGCACAGGAGAGGCAGAGUCCCAGUCAUCAUGUGACUGUUUCCAGUAAGGAUGUGUAGUUGAGGGCAUCUCCAACAAAUACACAAUAAACCACCAACCAUCAUCCUCAGCAGCAACAGCAUCCAUCAUCAUUAUCACCAUCCUCCUCCUCAGCACAAUAGGUGCAGCAGCAUCACCACCAUCAUCACCAUCAUCAUCCUCAGUAGCAGCAGCAGCACCCAUCAUCAUUAUCACCAUCAUCAUCCUCAGCACAGUAGGUGCAGCAGCAUCACCACCAUCAUCACCAUCAUCAUCCUCAGUAGCAGCAGCAGCACCCAUCAUCAUUAUCACCAUCAUCAUCCUCAGCACAAUAGGUGCAGCAGCAUCACCACCAUCAUCACCAUCAUCAUCCUCAGUAGCAGCAGCAGCACCCACCAUCAUUAUCACCAUCAUCAUCCUCAGCACAGUAGGUGCAGCAGCAUCACCACCAUCAUCACCAUCAUUAUCCUCAGUAGCAGCAGCAGCACCCAUCGGCACGUGACUGGACAUCACACAGAGCUCAGCACUCCCCUGUUCCCUUCUGUCUGACAAUCUGGUGUCAGAGUCAGGAUUCAUGAAAUAUGUUAAUGGAAGACCUAAAUGAUAGUGUGGGGGCAUAUAGAAGAAGAGAAAAUGCUAGCCUAAUGUGAGUUAUGAUGGGCUACUUCUGGAACAAAAGAGACAUUCAAGUCCCUGAAAAAGACAUUAAGGUCCUCUGGAGUGACUUUUCCAAUCCUAGUCAGACAACACAAGAAGCACGGCACUUCUGGUUCUCACUACUACUUUCCAAUGACUUGAGGCUACUUCCUGGGCUCAAGAUCAAGGCAACAUGGUCCUUCUCUUUUAUACAUCUUUCUUCUUUUCUGUACAUCUUUUCUCCUACAUCAGGAGCAUAGGAGUUGGGUAACAUGCAUCUAGCCAGAGGGGAAAGGAUAGUGCCUCCCUAUGCAUUGCAUCUGGGGCCAGAGGAUGGUCUCCAGAGCACUUGAGACCUAGAACCCUUCUUUUUUAAUGGGAACAAGAGACUCAUAAAUACCAAUUCCAGACUCCCUUGGAAGCUCCUGGCUCAGCUUUCGCCUCUGGGCUCCCUGCCACAGGAGUGUCUCCCAAACUGCUCUCCCUCCUUGCAGCCUCCACAGGAUGACCUCUGGUUGUGCUGGGCACCCUGGGUCCUCACCUGCCUGAGUCGUCAGCCUGCUUGGGGUGCUGUGGCUUGCUAUCUCUGGGCUGAUGGUAGCACCCAAGUCCUUCUGAAACUUGGGUUCAGAGGUGCUAGCCCAGCAUUUGGGGCAAGGUCUAAUAGAUGAGAUUGUGGAACACUCCCAGGCAGCCAAGGUUGUGGCCUGUGAGGUUACUUGAGGAGGAAAACUAGAUGUUCAGCUGGCAUCUCCCCAUGCCACCUUUCCCGAAGUGGGUGCUCUAACAUCCUUGUGGGGCCUCUCAGGAUGCCAGCCCCAUGAGUUCCUACCAGCUUUCCAGAAGGUUCUCUCUCUUCAGCUCUAAGUGAGGGGGCUCCUGACCCCUCUUCUCAUACAUUCCUUUCUAGUCAGCCUUAUCCUGUGUCUAGAGGUCAUGAACAGAGACCUCCAGGGGAACUGUGUUUUGGGCUGAAGGAAUCUACCCCACACUACCAGGAAGAUCUGUCAAGAGAGCUUUUGGGCUUUUAAUUAGGAAGGCCAGCUGGCCUCUUGCCUUGGUCUCCUGCCCCACCCCCAGGCUGACUGACAAGCUGACUUCUUGAAGAUGGGAGGGAGAGGAGAAGGUGAGGAGGAAGGAACCGCUAGCCCCUAGCCAUUCCCCUCACUGCACCUUCUCCUUCCUCCAGGUCUGUAGGAGAAGGUCUCUGAUGGUGCCACGUGAC